rnacentral:rRNA from 1 species
CCUAACGGUUAAUACCCGUUAGCGAUGACAUUAGCUGCAGAAUAAGCACCGGCUAACUCUGUGCCAGCAGCCGCGGUAAUACAGAGGGUGCAAGCGUUAAUCGGAAUUACUGGGCGUAAAGCGAGCGUAGGUGGCUUGAUAAGUCGGAUGUGAAAUCCCCGGGCUUAACCUGGGAACUGCAUCUGAUACUGUUAGGCUAGAGUAGGUGAGAGGGAAGUAGAAUUUCAGGUGUAGCGGUGAAAUGCGUAGAGAUCUGAAGGAAUACCGAUGGCGAAGGCAGCUUCCUGGCAUCAUACUGACACUGAGGUUCGAAAGCGUGGGUAGCAAACAGGAUUAGAUACCCUGGUAGUCCACGCCGUAAACGAUGUC